rnacentral:rRNA from 1 species
CAAUAGCGUAUACUAAUGUUGUUGCAGUUAAAAAGCUCGUAGUUGAACUUCUGGUAGGAGUGUCCCGGCCUUUUUGUUUUUACAAAUUGUAUGCUGUGUGACAUCUCUGGCCAUCCUUCUUCUUUGUUUAAAGAAGAUCUUUCACUGUAAAAAAGUUAGGGUGUUCAAAGCAAAAGUUUCUUUGGAAUAUAUUAGUAUGGGAUGAUAAGAUAGGCUCUAGAUGCUAUUUUGUUGGUUUGCACAUUUAGAGAAUGAUUAACAGGGACAGUUGGGGGUAUUCGUAUUUACAUGUCAGAGGUGAAAUUCUUGGAUUUUGGAAAGACGAACUACUGCGAAAGCAUUUACCAAGGAUGUUUUCAUUAA